CCACACCAUCUCCUCUCUCUCCCU
rnacentral:siRNA from 1 species